rnacentral:lncRNA from 1 species
CAUCAAAAAAUGAUAAAUAAAAGUACACAGUGAAGAUCAAACUGCCCCUAUGCCCCAUUCGAAGAAACCCUCCUAUGGAAAAUCAAAAUUUAGGUGCACCAACACCUCCUCCAUGCGGACGUUGCAGUUCUUGAAGCGAUGGGGAUGCUAAGGAGUUCGACUCGGAGUCUAGCCCACUGUGACUCGUCGACUGUCGAGCUAAGGUCGGAAGGCCCUUUCCCCACCUUGACCUCAGU